GGGUUGUGAGGUUAAGCGACUAAGCGUACACGGUGGAUGCCCUGGCAGUCAGAGGCGAUGAAGGACGUGCUAAUCUGCGAAAAGCGUCGGUAAGGUGAUAUGAACCGUUAUAGCCGGCGAUGUCCGAAUGGGGAAACCCAGUGUGAUUCGUCACACUAUCGUUAACUGAAUACAUAGGUUAACGAGGCGAACCGGGGGAACUGAAACAUCUAAGUACCCCGAGGAAAAGAAAUCAACCGAGAUUCCCCCAGUAGCGGCGAGCGAACGGGGAGCAGCCCAGAGUCUGAAUCAGCUUGUGUGUUAGUGGAACGGUCUGGAAAGUCCGACGGUACAGGGUGAUAGUCCCGUACACCAAAAUGCACAGGCUGUGAACUCGAAGAGUAGGGCGGGACACGUGGUAUCCUGUCUGAAUAUGGGGGGACCAUCCUCCAAGGCUAAAUACUCCUGACUGACCGAUAGUGAACCAGUACCGUGAGGGAAAGGCGAAAAGAACCCCGGCGAGGGGAGUGAAAAAGAACCUGAAACCGUGUACGUACAAGCAGUGGGAGCACCUUCGGGUGUGACUGCGUACCUUUUGUAUAAUGGGUCAGCGACUUAUAUUCUGUAGCAAGGUUAACCGUAUAGGGGAGCCGCAGGGAAACCGAGUCUUAACUGGGCGUUAAGUUGCAGGGUAUAGACCCGAAACCCGGUGAUCUAGCCAUGGGCAGGUUGAAGGUUGGGUAACACUAACUGGAGGACCGAACCGACUAAUGUUGAAAAAUUAGCGGAUGACUUGUGGCUGGGGGUGAAAGGCCAAUCAAACCGGGAGAUAGCUGGUUCUCCCCGAAAGCUAUUUAGGUAGCGCCUCGUGAACUCAUCUUCGGGGGUAGAGCACUGUUUCGGCUAGGGGGUCAUCCCGACUUACCAACCCGAUGCAAACUACGAAUACCGAAGAAUGUUAUCACGGGAGACACACGGCGGGUGCUAACGUCCGUCGUGAAGAGGGAAACAACCCAGACCGCCAGCUAAGGUCCCAAAGUCACAGUUAAGUGGGAAACGAUGUGGGAAGGCACAGACAGCCAGGAUGUUGGCUUAGAAGCAGCCAUCAUUUAAAGAAAGCGUAAUAGCUCACUGGUCGAGUCGGCCUGCGCGGAAGAUGUAACGGGGCUAAACUGUGCACCGAAGCUGCGGCAGCGACACUAUGUGUUGUUGGGUAGGGGAGCGUUCUGUAAGCCUGCGAAGGUGGCCUGUGAGGGUUGCUGGAGGUAUCAGAAGUGCGAAUGCUGACAUAAGUAACGAUAAUGCGGGUGAAAAGCCCGCACGCCGGAAGACCAAGGGUUCCUGUCCAACGUUAAUCGGGGCAGGGUGAGUCGACCCCUAAGGCGAGGCCGAAAGGCGUAGUCGAUGGGAAACAGGUUAAUAUUCCUGUACUUGGUGUUACUGCGAAGGGGGGACGGAGAAGGCUAUGUUAGCCGGGCGACGGUUGUCCCGGUUUAAGCAUGUAGGCGGAGGUUCCAGGUAAAUCCGGUACCUUUUAACGCUGAGGUGUGAUGACGAGGCACUACGGUGCUGAAGUAACAAAUGCCCUGCUUCCAGGAAAAGCCUCUAAGCAUCAGGUAACAUCAAAUCGUACCCCAAACCGACACAGGUGGUCAGGUAGAGAAUACCAAGGCGCUUGAGAGAACUCGGGUGAAGGAACUAGGCAAAAUGGUGCCGUAACUUCGGGAGAAGGCACGCUGAUAUGUAGGUGAAGCCCCUGCGGGUGGAGCUGAAAUCAGUCGAAGAUACCAGCUGGCUGCAACUGUUUAUUAAAAACACAGCACUGUGCAAACACGAAAGUGGACGUAUACGGUGUGACGCCUGCCCGGUGCCGGAAGGUUAAUUGAUGGGGUUAUCCGUAAGGAGAAGCUCUUGAUCGAAGCCCCGGUAAACGGCGGCCGUAACUAUAACGGUCCUAAGGUAGCGAAAUUCCUUGUCGGGUAAGUUCCGACCUGCACGAAUGGCGUAAUGAUGGCCAGGCUGUCUCCACCCGAGACUCAGUGAAAUUGAACUCGCUGUGAAGAUGCAGUGUACCCGCGGCAAGACGGAAAGACCCCGUGAACCUUUACUAUAGCUUGACACUGAACAUUGAGCCUUGAUGUGUAGGAUAGGUGGGAGGCUUUGAAGCGUGGACGCCAGUCUGCGUGGAGCCAACCUUGAAAUACCACCCUUUAAUGUUUGAUGUUCUAACGUUGGCCCCUUAUCGGGGUUGCGGACAGUGUCUGGUGGGUAGUUUGACUGGGGCGGUCUCCUCCCAAAGAGUAACGGAGGAGCACGAAGGUUAGCUAAUCCUGGUCGGACAUCAGGAGGUUAGUGCAAUGGCAUAAGCUAGCUUGACUGCGAGCGUGACGGCGCGAGCAGGUGCGAAAGCAGGUCAUAGUGAUCCGGUGGUUCUGAAUGGAAGGGCCAUCGCUCAACGGAUAAAAGGUACUCCGGGGAUAACAGGCUGAUACCGCCCAAGAGUUCAUAUCGACGGCGGUGUUUGGCACCUCGAUGUCGGCUCAUCACAUCCUGGGGCUGAAGUAGGUCCCAAGGGUAUGGCUGUUCGCCAUUUAAAGUGGUACGCGAGCUGGGUUUAGAACGUCGUGAGACAGUUCGGUCCCUAUCUGCCGUGGGCGCUGGAGAAUUGAGGGGGGCUGCUCCUAGUACGAGAGGACCGGAGUGGACGCAUCACUGGUGUUCGGGUUGUCAUGCCAAUGGCAUUGCCCGGUAGCUAAAUGCGGAAGAGAUAAGUGCUGAAAGCAUCUAAGCACGAAACUUGCCCCGAGAUGAGUUCUCCCUGAGACUUUAAGUCUCCUGAAGGAACGUUAAAGACGAUGACGUUGAUAGGUCGGGUGUGUAAGCGUAGCGAUACGUUGAGCUAACCGAUACUAAUGAACCGUGAGGCUUAACCUUACAACGCCGAAGGUGUUU
rnacentral:rRNA from 1 species